UACGGAGGAUGCGAGCGUUAUCCGGAUUUAUUGGGUUUAAAGGGUGCGUAGGCGGAUCGUUAAGUCAGUGGUCAAAUUGAGGGGCUCAACCCCUUCCCGCCAUUGAAACUGGCGCUCUUGAGUGGAAGAGAAGUAUGCGGAAUGCGUGGUGUAGCGGUGAAAUGCAUAGAUACCACGCAGAACCCCGAUUGCGAAGGCAGCAUGCCGGCUUCCGACUGACGCUGAAGCACGAAAGCGUGGGGAUCGAACAGG
rnacentral:rRNA from 1 species